rnacentral:rRNA from 1 species
GACGAACGCUGGCGGCGUGCUUAACACAUGCAAGUCGAACGGAAAGGCCCUGCUUUUGUGGGGUGCUCGAGUGGCGAACGGGUGAGUAACACGUGAGUAACCUGCCCUUGACUUUGGGAUAACUUCAGGAAACUGGGGCUAAUACCGGAUAGGAGCUCCUGCUGCAUGGUGGGGGUUGGAAAGUUUCGGCGGUUGGGGAUGGACUCGCGGCUUAUCAGCUUGUUGGUGGGGUAGUGGCUUACCAAGGCUUUGACGGGUAGCCGGCCUGAGAGGGUGACCGGCCACAUUGGUACUGAGGUACGGCCCAGACUCCUACGGGAGGCAGCAGUGGGGAAUAUUGCACAAUGGGCGGAAGCCUGAGGCAGCAACGCCGCGUGCGGGAUGACGGCCUUCGGGUUGUAAACCGCUUUCGCCUGUGACGAAGCGUGAGUGACGGUAAUGGGUAAAGAAGCACCGGCUAACUACGUG